AGAGAGAGACAUGCGCGCAUAUCAAUAAGCGGAGGAAAAGAAACUAACUAGGAUUCCCUCAGUAACGGCGAGUGAAGCGGGAAGAGCUCAAAUUUGAAAUCUUCAAGGUUCUACCUUGACGAAUUGUAGUUUAAAGAAGUGUUUUCUGUUGGAGUUUUGGUAAAAGUUCUUUGGAAUAGGACAUCAUAGAGGGUGAGAAUCCCGUAUUUGACCAUUAUUUCCAACUUUGUGAUACACUUUCAAAGAGUCGGAUUGUUUGGGAAUGCAGUCCAAAAUGGGUGGUAAAUUUCAUCUAAAGCUAAAUACUGGCGAGAGACCGAUAGCGAACAAGUACCGUGAGGGAAAGAUGAAAAGAACUUUGAAAAGAGAGUUAAACAGUACGUGAAAUUGUCAAAAGGGAAGCGUUUGACACCAGUGUUGUUUUCUCGAAAAUCAAUUAAAAAUGACUGGGAUGUUGUGUUGUAUUGACUUUAUCAGCUUUCUGCACUUUUUUCUUGUCUUUUUUAAUGCACUUUUCGUUUAACAAGUCAACAUCAAUUUCUUUUGUUGUAAAAGGGUCAUUGGAAGGUGGCUUUCUUUUCGGAGAAAGUGUUUAUAGCCUUUGGCCUCUGCAAUCGGAGAGAUUGAGGCCUGCAGCGUAGAUCCUUCGGGGUUAGAUACAUUUGUGCUAAGUUAUAGCCUUUCAUAGACAACUUGUUGACUAUGAUCAGUCAUGUAGCUUACUCGCUUAUGCUAUUUUACCUACGCUUAGGAUGUUGACAGCAGUAUAGACUGU
rnacentral:rRNA from 1 species